rnacentral:tRNA from 1 species
GCCGAAGUGGUGGAAUUGGCAGACACACUAGCUUGAGGGGCUAGCGAGCCUUACACGCUCGUGGGGGUUCAAAUCCCCCCUUCGGCA